CACUAUAUCACUCUGAUAAACAAAUCUUCAAAAAAUCCUCCGGCACAACAAGCUUGGCACUCAAAGGGCUAGAUAAAUGGAAUGGAAAUGAUAAAUAUCUGUCAGAAACUCACAAAUGGUUACUGUUGGCUGUUUACAUGAUGAAAUUUGAUAAAAUUUUAUAUUGUACUACAGUUUUGAUAUUCGGAUGUACUAUGUUGUCGUCUGCUUGCAAAGUUUCCUUUGCGAGUGAUAAAGUGAAACUGGCCAGAAACGAAAGACUAGAAAAGACAAUUCUGCAAACCGGGAACACGCUGGAAACAAUACUUAAAAGGACUGAUAAGAUGCUCAGACAAAGUUUGAAAAACGUUUGUGAAGGUGAUAUGCGAUUGGAAGAUGUGUCUUACAAGAAAAUGACAGGUCAAAGUUCAAAGAUAGUUAGUCGUUACCCUUCACGCAAUGCUGUUGACGGCGAUCUAUCUACAAUGUUUAUCACGAAAUUUGACAAGAAGCCAUAUUGGUGGGUAGACCUCGGAUCUUCCUUCUCAGUUCAUCAUGUUGAAAUUUGGAACAGAUCAAAUGGCGCCGGUACUAGACUCCGUAAAUUGGAUAUUAUGGUUGGUCCAACUUUAAGUAAAAUGAAGCUAUGCACUCAUUACAAAGGCCCGGCAAAAGAUGGGGAGCACCUUGUUCUGAAGUGCAGUAAACCUACAAAUGGACGGUAUGUCAAGCUUGCCAUGGGAGUCCAAGAAUGGUUCCACCUUAUGGAAGUUAAAGUGUUUGCGUAUUCCAAGACUUGUUGAAUUAACUUCUUAAAUAUGAAAUCUGCUUUUUU